rnacentral:lncRNA from 1 species
GUGUUUGUAUAUGUAGAUAUGUUUUGGUCCUGACGUGGUUAUUAAGAUUUAUUUUAUGUGCAUCUGUAUUUAAGUUGCCUGUUGAGAAAAAUACACACACACACACACACACACACACACACCAUGUGAUUAUGUGAUGCCUGUGGAGGUCAAAAGAGGGCAUUAGAUUCCCUAGUAUUAGAGUUACAGAUGGAUGUGAGCCACCAUGUAGGCUCUGGGAACUGAACCUGGAUCCUCUACAAGAGUACAUGCUCUUAGCCGCUGAGACAUCUCCCCAGUCACCAAGC